UACAGAGGCCCCGAGCAUUACCCGGAAUUACUGGGCGUAAAGGGUGUGUAGGCGGUUAUGUUAGUCCUGUGUUAAAGCACCCGGCUCAACCGGGGACAGGCAUAGGAAACGGCAUAACUAGAGGAUGCGAGAGGUCUGUGGAACUCUAGGUGUAGGGGUGAAAUCCGUUGAUAUCUAGGGGAACACCAAAAGCGAAGGCAGCAGACUGGCGCACUCCUGACGCUGAGACACGAAAGCGUGGGUAGCGAACGGG
rnacentral:misc_RNA from 1 species